rnacentral:rRNA from 1 species
UGGGGAAUUUUGGACAAUGGGCGAAAGCCUGAUCCAGCAAUGCCGCGUGUGCGAAGAAGGCCUUCGGGUUGUAAAGCACUUUUGUCCGGAAAGAAAUCCGUCUGGCUAAUACCCGGAUGGGAUGACGGUACCGGAAGAAUAAGCACCGGCUAACUACGUGCCAGCAGCCGCGGUAAUACGUAGGGUGCGAGCGUUAAUCGGAAUUACUGGGCGUAAAGCGUGCGCAGGCGGCUAUGCAAGACAGGUGUGAAAUCCCCGGGCUUAACCUGGGAACUGCACUUGUGACUGCAUGGCUAGAGUGCGUCAGAGGGAGGUGGAAUUCCGCGUGUAGCAGUGAAAUGCGUAGAGAUGUGGAGGAACACCGAUGGCGAAGGCAGCCCCCUGGGCCUGUACUGACGCUCAUGCACGAAAGCGUGGGGAGCAAACA